rnacentral:rRNA from 1 species
AUUGAACGCUGGCGGCAUGCUUUACACAUGCAAGUCGAACGGUAACAGGUUAAGCUGACGAGUGGCGAACGGGUGAGUAAUGCAUCGGAACGUGCCCGAUCGUGGGGGAUAACGCAGCGAAAGCUGCGCUAAUACCGCAUACGAUCUGAGGAUGAAAGCGGGGGACCGUAAGGCCUCGCGCGAUCGGAGCGGCCGAUGUCAGAUUAGGUAGUUGGUGGGGUAAAGGCCAACCAAGCCGACGAUCUGUAGCUGGUCUGAGAGGACGACCAGCCACACUGGGACUGAGACACGGCCCAGACUCCUACGGGAGGCAGCAGUGGGGAAUUUUGGACAAUGGGCGAAAGCCUGAUCCAGCAAUGCCGCGUGCAGGAAGAAGGCCUUCGGGUUGUAAACUGCUUUUGUACGGAGCGAAAAGGUCCUUUCUAAUACAGGGGGCUCAUGACGGUACCGUAAGAAUAAGCACCGGCUAACUACGUGCCAGCCGCCGCGGUAA